ensembl:processed_transcript
AAGUGAAGACGAGCAUCAGAGCAUCAGGAAGAGGUGAUAUUUGAAGGACAGAGAGAAGAUGAGUGAUCCAGAACCCUGCAGAACUGAAGAGGAAGAGGCUGAAGAGCAAACAGACUUUACUGAAGAGAAUGAGGAGAAUGAUGAUGAUGAUGGACUUGUAAAAGCUGAGAAAAUCCCUCAUUUAUUGACUGAAGAUGCUUUUGUAAUGAAAAGGGAGAAGAAAUGUUUCACCUGCACUCAGUGUGGAAGGAGUUUGGCAUCCAAACAAAGUCUCCAGCUUCACAUGAGGAUUCACACUGGAGAGAAACCGUACACAUGCACUCAGUGUGGGAAGAGUUUCAGACAAUCAUCAGCGCUUAAAACACACAAGCUGAUCCACACUGGAGAGAAAACACACACAUGUGAUCAAU